UACAGAGGGUGCAAGCGUUAAUCGGAAUUACUGGGCGUAAAGCGCGCGUAGGUGGUUCGUUAAGUUGGAUGUGAAAUCCCCGGGCUCAACCUGGGAACUGCAUCCAAAACUGGCGAGCUAGAGUAUGGUAGAGGGUGGUGGAAUUUCCUGUGUAGCGGUGAAAUGCGUAGAUAUAGGAAGGAACACCAGUGGCGAAGGCGACCACCUGGACUGAUACUGACACUGAGGCGCGAAAGCUAGGGGAGCAAACCGG
rnacentral:rRNA from 1 species